GCUCCUUCACUGCCUUUCUCUAUGGGACUCAUGAUGGCUACUCUUUCUGCCUUUCCAUUGCCUGUAGAAGUCUCUGCAGCUGUCUGAACACACUCAUGCUCCACACAUCUGUGCAGUGAUCCCAGGACCCAGAAACCCUGCUUGACCUAAAGGUUAUGCUGUUCCCCACCUUCCAGCCUAGCCCCCCUUGCUCGUUUAGUACCAGACUCUUUGGUCUCCCUGUUACCAAAGCUUUACUCUGACCUCCAAGGUUCAACUUUCUCUGAAAAUUCCAACCUGAGAAGAAAGAUGGCCACCAAAGAGGUAAACAGGCCUCUUCUGCCAUGUAUUCCUGACAUGUCUUGCACAACUAUAGGCUCCAAAUAACAGAGCCAAGUGACUGUGGAUGAAAAACCUCUGAAAACCGCCAAAAUAAACCUUUUUUCCCUUUAAGUUUAUUGUCCCUGGCAUUUUGUCACAGUAAUGCAAAACUAAGUAGUAGA